GGCGGGCCCGCCCGCCAAUGGGGACCACAAACAAACCUCUUGUAGUUGCAGUAAACGUCACAAAUCAAAAAAUCAAAACUUUCAACAACGGAUCUCUUGGUUCUGGCAUCGAUGAAGAACGCAGCGAAAUGCGAUAAGUAGUGUGAAUUGCAGAAUUCAGUGAAUCAUCGAAUCUUUGAACGCACAUUGCGCCCUUUGGUAUUCCUUAGGGCAUGCCUGUUCGAGCGUCAUCUAAACCCUCAAGCACAGCUUGGUGUUGGGCGCUUGUCCCGCCUCCGGCGCGGACUCGCCUCAAAAGCAUUGGCGGCCUGUGUGAACGGCUUCGAGUGCAGCAGAAUAGCGGCUCGAGGACCUCCCGCGGGCGUCCACAAGGACAACCCCCAAGUUUGACCUCGGAUCAGGUAGGGAUACCCGCUGAACUUAAGCAUAUCAAUAAGCGGAGGAAAAGAAACCAACAGGGAUUGCCCCAGUAACGGCGAGUGAAGCGGCAAGAGCUCAAAUUUGAAAUCUGGCCCUCUCACGGUCCGAGUUGUAAUUUGUAGAGGGCGCUUUGGCGUCSGCUACGGCCUAAGUUCCUUGGAACAGGACGUCACAGAGGGUGAGAACCCCGUACGUGGCCGCUGGCCUUCGCCGUGUAAAGCCCCUUC
rnacentral:rRNA from 1 species